AGCUGGUGCUUGGGGCUCCUGGCGGCUAUUAUUUCUUAGGUCUCCUGGCCCAGGCUCCAAUUGCGGAUAUUUUCUCGAGUUACCGCCCAGGCAUCCUUUUGUGGCACGUGUCCUCCCAGAGCCUCUCCUUUGACUCCAGCAACCCAGAGUACUUCGACGGCUACUGGGGAUACUCGGUGGCCGUGGGCGAGUUCGACGGGGAUCUCAACACUACAGAGUAUGUCGUCGGUGCCCCCACUUGGAGCUGGACCCUGGGAGCGGUGGAAAUUUUGGACUCCUACUACCAGAGGCUGCAUCGGCUGCGCGGAGAGCAGGUGGGGGCCAGGUCCCAGUGGGCGUGGCUGGGUGGAAGGGGAACUGAGACUUCAGAAUAUUUCAUGGGAGGUGAGGGCCCAUUUCUUAGAGGAUGCUGGUCCAGCGGCGUGAAUGAUGGUGCUCCUCAUCUUGCAGAUGGCGUCG
rnacentral:sRNA from 1 species